GUCCACGCCGUAAACGAUGUCAACUAGCCGUAGGGAGCAUCUGGCUCUUUGUGGCGCAGCUAACGCGAUAAGUUGACCGCCUGGGGAGUACGGCCGCAAGGCUAAAACUCAAAUGAAUUGACGGGGGCCCGCACAAGCGGUGGAGCAUGUGGUUUAAUUCGAUGCAACGCGAAAAACCUUACCUGCCCUUGACAUGCCAGGAAUCCCUCAGAGAUGAGGGAGUGCCUUCGGGAGCCUGGACACAGGUGCUGCAUGGCUGUCGU
rnacentral:rRNA from 1 species